GUUUUCCUCUGAGCAGUUGUGUUCCAUACCAACCGAGCGCUAUGGGCGAUUUCAGCCUGGCUGGAAAUCGCCCCCAGCGCUCUCAUUGACUUUCAUGUAAAAGCUUUUUUUUUCAAACUGCAAGCCCUGCAAUGCAUUCUCUAUGGGUUCCGGGAGUGCUUGCACUAACGUGAUUCUGUCAUAUCAUACGUACACUACAGUGAACGUCACGUGGUGCUUUUAUGGCUUUUAAUAGGUUCAUCACGUUACGUGCCUGCGCCGCCGCCGCAGUCACAUUCACGAUCGUCAUGGCGAAUAUUACAGCUCAGAGCAACUCCAUAAUUUCAUUUAGAGAAUUACCAUUUAGUCGUCGGAAGCAAUCAGGAAAAAUUGGCUGUUAAACAAUUAGGACCACCCCGACCAAAUUUAAAUAUAAAACAAAUAUCAAAGAAAGGAGGCAAGUCGUACACCAGGGGAUUUUCGCGGUGCUGGUACGAGAGGAAAAACUGGCUAGCAGGAUGCGAGGUAGCCAACGGACUCUUCUGCUACCCCUGCGUCCUCAUCCACCCUGAUGGCUGCACCACGGAAACACCUUGGACUACAACAGGUUUCACAGAUAUGCAUCAUCUGUCCGAAAAAAUAAAAAAGCAUGAAACAUCGAGGAUCCACAUGGACAGCUGCUUAAAACUGUCGGCGUUUGGGAGCGUCAACAUUGCUACGCAGUUGGACGAUGGCUACAGGCUAGCACUGCGUCGGCACAAUGAUGAGGUGAGCAAAAACCGCCACAUUCUGGGCCGCCUGAUCGACGGUGUUAAGUUCUGCGGUGUAUUCGAGUUGGCCUUGCGAGGCCGAGACGAGAGCGAGGGAUCCAGCAACCCCGGAAUUUUUCGAGGAUUGGUACAGUUAAUUGCAUCCCUAGAUGAAGUUUUUGAGGAGCAUUUAAAAAUGGCCACCGUCUUUAAAGGCACAUCCAAGACGGUCCAAAAUGAGCUGCUCGACUGCAUGGCAGCUGUCAUUAGGGCACGCAUUACGGAGAAGGUGAAGUCGGCCAGCUUCGUUGCGAUACAAGCUGACGAAACAACGGACGUCUCGACUCAGACUCAGAUGUUCAUGGUAUUGCGAUACAUUGAUGGGAGCCAAAAGCCAACGCAGAAGAAGGACAUUGAUGCAGUCUUCAUCAAACGUGCUCUGCAGAGCUUCACAAGCAGUGUUCAAGCCAUACGGGACCAGAGCUCAUCUCCAGAGCAGCAGCAAGUAGCAGCAGGAACUACAGGAAAAAGGAGGGCCUUGGGAGAGCAAGUCAAGCAGAGGCUGUCUAAGGAGGUAGAUGAUUUUGUAGUUUUGUUUGUUUAUUUUCUUCUUUUUGUUCUAUUUUUC
rnacentral:lncRNA from 1 species